GCCUUAGAUAUAAAAGCCAUCGGUAAUGUUUUUUUUGUCAUUAAAACUGUGUUUACAACUGUCAAUUCAAACACCAGCAACAGAUACACAAAGUUGUAGAACAAAAAAACGAGGGAAAUUAAUCAUGACAAAAAAAUAAAUAAAUAAAAAUAAAAUGUUGGACUGUGCAAGAACCUUGAACCAUUCAACAAAAAACUAAAUAACACAUAGGGGGGGAAAUACAAAAACAUAACUUAAUGUGCGUGACUUAAUAAUUGAAAAAAAGAAUUAAAUCUUGUUUAGGUUUUUGUUGCAUUUCACUUUUUAAAGGUUGACUAAAAAAGCAAAAAAGAUGCUAGUUCAGCCAUGGACCUGUAACUAGUGGACACAGCGCUUGAGGUGGAGCCCUGUUCAUUAUUAUGAAAGCUGCACAGUGGUGCAUAAAACCAACAACGCUCGACUUCCGGCCAUGCUCCGGAGGGGUUACAUCAGUAUAGCUUCCGCAUUGUGGGGCCCCCUUAGAGCAUGCGCACUAGCAACUUCUGUCAACUGAGCAAACUAACUUCCUGUUUAGCACCUGGCUAACUUGAAUGACAAUAAAUCAUUUGUGCAGCUCUUCUAGACUUUCCAAAUAUUAUUGGACGGGAUGGCUCCAGUUAUGACAGUUAUUUCUCUGUGUCAUGGCUCUAGAUUCAUGUCUUUGUGUUGUGUCUUGUUGUGUCAUGUUUUGAUAUUCCAUGCCCUAUUGUGUCCUUUCACUGUCUCCUGUGUUCUUCCCUCUGUGCAGGUUUGUCUCCCUCUGUCUGUCAGUGUUUUCUCCUCUGUGCUUCCUCCCCUCAUUACCCCACCUGGCCUCCUCCCUCCUCUCUCUCCUCACCUGUUCCUCAUCCCAUUGUUAGUGUCUGUGCAUUUAGCCUCUGCUUUCCCACUUGUCUUUGUCUGUUCAUUGCUUCUGUUCCUGUUUCUGUCUGGUGUUAUUGUGCGUGAUUUUUCCUCCAAAUACCUUGUCUUGUGUCUCCAGUCUCCUGUCUUGGUAUGUUUUGAUUUUGAGUUGUGUAUUUUUUAAUUUGAACUUUGCUUUUUGGUUCUACUUUGUCUUGAUGUUUUUGUAGCCACUGUGGUUUCUGGUCCUUGGACUCAUUUUCAUUUUUUGGUCCUUGGUUUUUGUCUUACACUCAACUUUGGUUUCAAUAAAACUUGCCUUUUGUUUCCACUGAUCCUGCCUCCUACCGUUCUUUCACCAUAUGCCUGAAGAGCUUAGAAGUUGCUGCCAGAGGUACUUGAUGCAGAUAACUUUCCCAGAUGAUGAUUGAGGGAGUGUACAAAUAGGCAGAGCCUAACCCUAACCAAAACCUCUACUAAAACAUUGAUGCCUAGCCAUUGACGUCUGCAACUAAACUGAGAGAUCCUCAAACCUGACCUGGAUGUCCUAGCCUCGCCUGGUUAUUUAACCCUCACCCAUAUCUACACCUAACCUGGACGAGUCUCCAGGCUUCUGCAGGACUGUUCCCCAACAUUCCCAGCUACCAGUGGCUCCACUUCCGGCAACCCAGUUUUCCACACCUCUGUAGCCAACAGAUUUGCCCUGCACUCGACAGUGUCUCUACUCGCCAUGUUAUCCUCCAGUGCCACUGUGACCAACCUCUCCUACCCCUUCUACAUCCAACAAAUUAAACAAAUUACCUUGCACACUA